rnacentral:rRNA from 1 species
CCUACGGGAGGCAGCAGUGGGGAAUAUUGGGCAAUGGAGGCAACUCUGACCCAGCAACGCCGCGUGAAUGAUGAAGGUCCUCGGAUUGUAAAGUUCUUUUCUACGGGAAGAAGAAAGUGACGGUACAUUAGGCAUAAGCCUCGCCUAACUACGUGCCAGCAGCCGCGGUUAUACGUAGGAGGCAAGCGUUAUCCGGAAUGACUGGGCGUAAAGGGUGCGUAGGUGGUUAGACAAGUUGGUAGCGUAACACCGGGGCUCAAAUUCGGAACUACUACCAAAACUGUUGGACUAGAGUGCAGGAGAGGCAACUGGAAUGUGUAGUGUAGCGGUGGAAUGCGUAGAUAUUAGGAAGAACACCGGUGGCGAAGGCGAGUUGCUGGAGUGUAACUGACGCUGAGGCACGAAAGCGUGGGGAGCAAACAGGAUUAGAUACCCUUGUAGUC